GACGAACGCUGGCGGCGUGCUUAACACAUGCAAGUCGAACGGAAAGGCCCUGCUUUUGUGGGGUGCUCGAGUGGCGAACGGGUGAGUAACACGUGAGUAACCUGCCCUUGACUUUGGGAUAACUUCAGGAAACUGGGGCUAAUACCGGAUAGGAGCUCCUGCUGCAUGGUGGGGGUUGGAAAGUUUCGGCGGUUGGGGAUGGACUCGCGGCUUAUGCGCUUGUUGGGGGGGUAGUGGCUUACCAAGGCUUUGACGGGUAGCCGGCCUGAGAGGGUGACCGGCCACAUUGGGACUGAGAUACGGCCCAGUCGCCUACGGGAGGCAGCAGUGGGGAAUAUUGCACAAUGGGCGGAAGCCUGAGGCAGCAACGCCGCGUGCGGGAUGACGGCCUUCGGGUUGUAAACCGCUUUCGCCUGUGACGAAGCGUGAGUGACGGUAAUGGGUAAAGAAGCACCGGCUAACUACGUG
rnacentral:rRNA from 1 species